UUUACAACGACUGAUGAAAAUCCUCCUAUCCUCGAAGAAAUAACAAGAUAUUUCAGUAACCUCAAUGAGAUUGUCCAAAAGCAGGUAUUAAUAAUGUUUGCAGAUACUUUCUGGCCAAAUCCGUCUCCACCCCUAAUUCCAGCAUCUUCUAGUUCAGGUUACAUUUCCCACGUGCAUUUAUUCUCAGCAAGUGAUGUAACGAGUCAAAACAAUCAUAUAGCUGAGGAUAGUGUCAGACAUAGCAUUGUCUCCCCAUUUGCCUUCCCCAAAUUCUACCUUCUCUAGUUUUACCAUUUGUAUAAUAAUUUCUCUAUUCUUCUCUGCAGGGUGAUACAGCGUGUGCUCGUGCUAUCGCUACAACUAAAAUUCAGGAGAUUUUACUGCGGGUUGAUCUACUUUACUCUUUAAUGAGAAGAUGGAAUCUGAGAAAGCAACAUCGCGUCUAACUCUUAGAUACAGAGAUGUUCGUGGCAUUCUUACAUGGGAUUCCAAAAGGAUCUCACAAUCAAAAUCACAUAGUCAUUAAGAAACCAUGAACCAAAUACUAUGAACUGAACAGUGGACAAGAAAUAUGAAUAUAAC